UGACUAGUAUUUAGACUACACCCUGAAAGCUAUUGUGUAUCUUCACUUUCACUUAUUUUUAACCUUCUAAUUUUACUUUCCCCAAUUUUCCUUCAAAACCUUUUCCUGCCCCAUUUCAAAAAUCUUUACACUCGAGUCAUACAUUUGUUUUUAUACCUAAAAGAAAGAAAGAAUAAAGGAGUAAAGAGAAAAGAGAGAAAGAAAAAGAAUUAUAUAUAAUUAUAUUCUAUGUGCCAGAAAAUAUUUUAUAUCCUAGGGAUGCAGCAUUGAGGAAAAACAGGCAAAAUUCCUGCCUUUAGGGAGCUUACAUUCUACUGAGGGAAACAGACAAUGAUCAAGAUACAUAAAUGAAACAUAAGGUAUAUAAGAUAGUGAUAACCACCAGGAGGAAAACUAAAACAGAGAAUGGUGAUAGGAAUUGCGAGGGACAGGGGAUGCAAUUUUAAUAGAGAGGUCAGAGAAGACCUCUCUGAGAAUCUGACGUUGGAAUAUAAAGACCAAGAGGAUGUCAGGAAGCAAGCUGUAGAGCUGGGUCUGCAGGUACAAAGGCCCAAGGCAGUCAAUUAUCUGGAAUGUUCCAGGUCCCACGGAGACACCAUUGUGGUCGGAAGCAAGUAUACCAAGUGAAAGAGGCAAUGGGAAGGGAGGGCAGAGGAGGUGAGUAAGGUGCCUUUAUUCUGGGUGAGAUGAGAAGCCAGCAGAGGCUUCUUGAUAGAAGGGUAAUUUGACUGACUUGGAUUUGGUAUACCCCUGUGUCAAGGAUGGACACUAAAGUGGGCCACGGUAGCAACUGGAGAUUGGUUAGGAAGCUCGUGCCAUGCUUUAAAUUUGAAAUGAAAGUUUAAACUGAGGCGAGGCCAGAGGCAGUGUGUGUGACCUUAGACAAGAUUGGUGUUGGGCAGUUUAAAGAGAUGAGGAAGACAGAACUUUUGGGAAUGGUAUCCUCAGUUCAGUUUUGGACAUGUUAAAAUUGAGCUGCCUGUUAGACUUCUAAAAAAGAGUAUCAGGUGAUUGGAUUUCUGAGCCUAGACUUCUGGGAAGAUUUAGCAGCUAUACAAAUGUGGGCAUCAUCAGAACUGUAGAUGAUCCUUAAAGGCAGUGCAUUGGAGGAGAUAACCCAGGGAAUGUGUACAUAGAGAAGUGGCCUGGGCGCUUGGCCCUGAGGCACACCAACAUUUAAGUGAUGGGAGGAGAAACCAGCAAGAGGCUUAAGGAGGAGUAGCCAGACCGAGUGCGGUGGUGCAUACCUGUAAUCCCAGGGAUUGGGAAGCUAGCACAGGAGGAUCGUGAGUUCAAAGCCAGCCUCAGCAACAGCAAAGCACUCAGUAAGACCUUUCUCUAAAUAAAAUACAAAAUAGGGCUGGGGAUGUGGCCUAGUGGUGGAGUGCCCCUGAGUUCAAUCCCUGGUACCAAAAAAAAAAAAAGAGGUAAGUUUGGUAUUUUAGAAACCAUGUAUGUAACAAAGUGUCUCAAAGAGAAGGAAGAGGGGCUGGGGUUGUAGCUCAGUGGUAGAGCUCUUGCCUAACAUGUGUGAGGCAUUAGGUUCAAUUCUCAGCACCCCAUACAAAUAAAUAAAAUAAAGGUACAUCAACAACUGAAAAAUAUUUUUUAAAAAGUAGAAGGGAGGGUCAGAUGAUAGGGGGAGUAGCUAAGCAGAGCUCCAGGGUGAUCUCAGUGAGAGCAGGGUUGGCAGACAGAGGAAGCAAACCCUGUUUUCAAUGGAAAACAGACAGAGAGUAUCUGAAGACAGUGAGCCCUGACUUCACAGUGACAGUGAGCCCAAACUUCACAGUGACAGCAUUACUUGACAGUGACAGCCCUGGCUACACAGUGACAGUCCGGACAUUGCAGUGACAGUUAUGACAUCACAGUGACAGCCCUAGCUAUAUAGUGACAGUCCUGACUACACAGUGACAGUCCUGACUUCACAGUGACUGUCCUGACAUCACAGUGAUAGCCCUGGCUACACAAUGAUAUCCCUGAAAUCAGAGUGACAUCCCUGACUACACAGUGACAGUUCUGAUUUCACACGGACAUCACAGUGAUAGCCCUGACUUCACAGUGACAGUGGCAGCCUGACUCUACAGUUAUCUCAGUACAGCCAAAGAGGAGGUGAUGUAGACCACAAUAGGCAGCCUACAGAUUUGGUGCCUGCACAGCGGGAGCCAUCUGAGCAGAUCCCCACCCCCUGCCCCCACCAUCCUUUCACCUUUCAAGGAUGUGAUACCAGCUGAGGCCAUGAGACUGCAGAUAAUUCAGAGCUCUGAGACCAGGGGUAGUGAGCUCAAGUCAGAGCGUCCGGAAGCUCUGCUCUACCUCCAUUAUUGCCACCAUCCUUUCCCUCUCCCAUCCUCUAGCUCCACCUGUCCCCUGCAGUCUGUCUUAGAAGACCUCAUUCCCCGCUUUGCUUUGAGAAGCUGAGACAGCCAACUCAUGUUCCAGCAACUUCUCUGGCCUUGCUUCA
rnacentral:lncRNA from 1 species